AUUGAACGCUGGCGGCAUGCCUUACACAUGCAAGUCGAACGGCAGCACGGGAGCAAUCCUGGUGGCGAGUGGCGAACGGGUGAGUAAAGUAUCGGAACGUACCCAGUCGUGGGGGAUAACGUAGCGAAAGUUACGCUAAUACCGCAUACGAUCUAUGGAUGAAAGCGGGGGAUCGCAAGACCUCGCGCGAUUGGAGCGGGCGAUAGCAGAUUAGGUAGUUGGUGGGGUAAAGGCUCACCAAGCCGACGAUCUGUAGCGGGUCUGAGAGGACGACCAGCCACACUGGGACUGAGACACGGCCCAGACUCCUACGGGAGGCAGCAGUGGGGAAUUUUGGACAAUGGGCGAAAGCCUGAUCCAGCCAUGCCGCGUGCAGGAUGAAGGCCUUCGGGUUGUAAACUGCUUUUGUACGGAACGAAAAGGUUUGGCCUAAUAAGCUGAGCUCAUGACGGUACCGUAAGAAUAAGCACCGGCUAACUACGUGCCAGCAGCCGCCGCCG
rnacentral:rRNA from 1 species